rnacentral:rRNA from 1 species
GAUGAACGCUGGCGGCGUGCCUAAUACAUGCAAGUCGAGCGAACAGACGAGGAGCUUGCUCCUCUGACGUUAGCGGCGGACGGGUGAGUAACACGUGGAUAACCUACCUAUAAGACUGGGAUAACUUCGGGAAACCGGAGCUAAUACCGGAUAAUAUAUUGAACCGCAUGGUUCAAUAGUGAAAGACGGUUUUGCUGUCACUUAUAGAUGGAUCCGCGCCGCAUUAGCUAGUUGGUAAGGUAACGGCUUACCAAGGCAACGAUGCGUAGCCGACCUGAGAGGGUGAUCGGCCACACUGGAACUGAGACACGGUCCAGACUCCUACGGGAGGCAGCAGUAGGGAAUCUUCCGCAAUGGGCGAAAGCCUGACGGAGCAACGCCGCGUGAGUGAUGAAGGUCUUCGGAUCGUAAAACUCUGUUAUUGGGGAAGAACAAAUGUGUAAGUAACUAUGCACGUCUUGACGGUACCUAAUCAGAAAGCCACGGCUAACUACGUG